AGCUGUCCCGCCUGCUCCCUGGCGAGGUCUAGCCCAGCCGACAACACCUCGUCGGCCCGACCGAUCACCCUCUUUGGUGUCCCGUCAGCGUUGAAGAGAUCAACUGCAGUCAGGGGCACCAACUUAGGCUUUUUGGCCAAGACCGGCAGAGGAGUCGCCGGCAUAGGCACAAUCGCACCGGGCGGGGUAUCCUCCAAUGUGAUAGUUGGUGGGCUGAUCGUUGGGGAGAUCUCCUUGCGUUUGGGACGCAAGAAAUCGUCCUCCCCCAGCUCAGCCGCCACCACUUCACUGACUCCCACAAUGGUUGAACCCGAAGUUCCUAUCCUCGGCGAACCGGCCCUAGACGCGCUCCGCAAUCUCUCCAAUAUGGAGGGUUUAGGAGACGCAUCCAGGGAGAUAGCCGUCGUCAAGUCCGUGUAAUCCGUGCAAUCCGUUGCCAAUAUCCUCCCGGCUAUUUCACCGGUGGGAGUGGCUUGGUCACCACCACUCCCUGCAGUCGCAGUACCAACCCCGUGGUUGGCUGCAGGAGCCUGCCUCAACACUUCUGCAUUUACUGUGUAUUCGUUUGAUAACGACACCUGGUGGGUACACCCCCCACCAACCGCCGGCACUGAUGCAGUAACCUUUUUCUCCGUGUUUGCCAUUAUUCAUAUAAAAUAAUUUUCUGAGGGGGCUGCCCUCAUAGCCAGUCCCUCCGGCCAGUGAGUAGCUAACUACACUGGUUGCGUUGCCAUAUAUCUUCAUUCUCACCCAAACGCUACCGCUUAUUCGACCAUAAAAGGCUUAUUUCACGGCUACCCUGUAUAUCUAUAGGGCUAACAAGCGUUUGGGCGGCUCGCUGUCCGCGACCGCUUAUUCGUCAGUCCAAAUUAAUGGACUGCUUAUUUCGCGGCUAACCUGCAUAUCUGCAGGCCGUUCCUCUAUCCGCAACCUGAGGACGCGCCCUGAUGAUCAUGAGCCUAUUAGUUAUUGUUAUUAUGUUUAGGUUAGAGACGAUAUACCAACAUCAUUACUCGAACAGUUUUCAAUUCCAACGUAUCCAGUGUUGUUCAGAGAGGACGGUCAUGGAGAAAAGGGUGCGGUAGCUAAACAUUUCGUUUAAGAAAUUGUGGAAGUAGCUCGAAAUAUAUCUCAAAUAUUACAAGUCAACUUGCCCAUGACUUUUAAGCAAGCUGAUGCGAAGAAACAUAAUGAUAUAGUAAAACGCGGUGUGUGUCCUUUAUGCAAUGUUAAGUUCUCUAUAAAUAAUUACCCAGUUCGCGAUUAUGAUCAUUUAACAUCCGAGUACAGAAAGAAUUUGUAAUAAAUGCAACUUAAAGUUAAAGUCUCCUAAAUUUGUCCCCUGUUUUUUUCACAACUUAUCCAACUACGACGGUCAUUUCAAUGUAACACAGCUUGGAUACGACGAUAAACCCAUAACUUUUAUACCUAACAGUGAAGAAAAAUUUAUUUCUUUCUCAAAAUAUGUGGCGAAAGACUUCAAAAUAAGAUUUGUUGACAGCAACAGGUUUAUGGCGUCAAGUUUAUCAAAACUAGUCGAAAAUCUAGCCAAAGGGGAUGUAGGAUACUUCAAAGAUACUACAAAACAUUUUCCAAAUUCAGAUAUCAGUCUUAUUACCCGUAAAGGUGUUUAUCCUUACGAGUAUACAGACUCAUUCGAGAAACUUAACGAAACAUCGCUAUCAUCUAUAAAUGAGUUUUAUAGUUCUUUAAAUGAGAGUAAUAUAACGGAAGAGGACUAUCAACAUGCUCAGAAUGUUUGGAAACAUUUUAAGUGUACAACGUUAGGACAAUAUAGCGACUGGUAUUUGAAGUUGGGCGUGUUGUUGUUAUGUGACGUGUUUGAGUCUUUUAGAGACCUUUGCCUAAAAACUUAUGGACUGGACCCUAAUUAUUAUUACACCGCACCCGGCAUGUCUUUUGAUUGUAUGUUGAAACAUACAAAUAUUGAGCUCGAGCUAUUACACGAUUAUGACAUGCUCUUGAUGUUGGAGCAGGGAAUUAGAGGAGGUUUGACAACGGCAGUACGCCGAUAUUCGGAAGCUAAUCAUAUAGGACUUUCUAGCUAUGAUGUUAGUAAGCCGGAUAACUGGAUCAUAUAUCUUGAUGCUACAAAUUUAUACGGAUGAGCCAUGUCACAGUAUCUGCCUAAAGAUGGCUUUAAAUGGAGUGAGAUGAAUUUAAAUGUUUCAGAAGUUUUAAUGCUCUUAGAAAAAACAUCAAAUAAUUCGAAAAAAGGAAUGAUAUUAGAAGUCGACGUUUCAUACCCUGAACACUUACAUGAUAAUCAUAACGAUUUACCGUAUCUGCCUUUUAAAGAAGUCCCCGAAGGUUCUAAGUUUCCAAAGCUUUUGGCUACCUUAAAACAUUAAAAAUAUUACAUAGUACACUACAAUUCGUUGAAACAGGCAGGACUGGUGUUGGAAAAAGUGCAUAGAAUGAUAGAGUUUAAUCAAUCUCCAUGGCUGGCAAGCUAUAUAUCAUUAAAUACACGGAUGCGUUCGGUAGCUAAAAAUACGUUUGAAAAAGACUUUUAUAAGCUUAUGAACAACUCAGUAUUUGGCAAAACGAUGGAGAAUGUACGUCUCAGAAUGAAAAUAGAGCUUACUAGUAGUGAGUCAAGAUAUAGAAAGCUUGUUAAUUUACCCUCACAUAAAGGUACAACUGUAUAUGGUGACAACUUGUCAUUACAUAAUAAUUCAUUUACACAAAGAAGAUUUAAUUUUCGAUAAGCCCAUGUACAUAGAAUUUGCCGUGUUGGACAUAACAAAAACUCUUAUGUAUGAUUUUCACUAUGGUACUAUGAAAGCGUUAUAUGCAGAAAACAUUGAACUUUUAUACAUGGGCACAGAUUCAUUGAUAUAUUUAGUCAAAACCAAGAAUUUUUAUGAUGAUAUGCAAAAACAUCAAAGUUUUAUAGAAAAACUAGAUACCUCAAACUAUCCAGUUAACCAUCCGUGUUAUCGUACUGAACGGUGUAAGAUCCCUGGUACUUUCACUGACGAGACUGGGGGGGAGUUUAUUUCAGCACACGUAGCUCUAAGAUCCAAGGCUUACGGCUUCAUUCAAAAUGCUAAAGAGUGCAUCAAGGCAAAAGGAGUGGCGUAUCAUGCCGUCAAAAAUCACAUUAGAUUUGAG